UAGGGAAUCUUCGGCAAUGGGCGAAAGUCUGACCGAGCAACGCCGCGUGAGUGAAGAAGGUUUUCGGAUCGUAAAACUCUGUUGGUAGAGAAGAACGUUGGUGAGAGUGGAAAGCUCAUCAAGUGACGGUAACUACCCAGAAAGGGACGGCUAACUACGUGCCAGCAGCCGCGGUAAUACGUAGGUCCCGAGCGUUGUCCGGAUUUAUUGGGCGUAAAGCGAGCGCAGGUGGUUUAUUAAGUCUGGU
rnacentral:rRNA from 1 species